rnacentral:rRNA from 1 species
GAGGAGCGAGAGCAUGGGUAGCGAACAGGAUUAGAUACCCUGGUAGUCCAUGCUGUAAACGGUGGGCGCUAGGUGUGGGGACUUUCCAUGGUUUCCGUGUCGUAGCUAACGCGUUAAGCGCCCCGCCUGGGGAGUACGGCCGCAAGGCUAAAACUCAAAGGAAUUGACGGGGGCCCGCACAAGCGGCGGAGCAUGUGGAUUAAUUCGAUGCAACGCGAAGAACCUUACCUGGGUUUGACAUGCACUAGAUGAGGCGAGAGAUCGUCUGUCCCUUUGUGGCUGGUGUGCAGGUGGUGCAUGGUUGUCGUCAGCUCGUGUCGUGAGAUGUUGGGUUAAGUCCCGCAACGAGCGUAACCCUUGUCUUAUGUUGCCAGCACGUUGUGGUGGGGACUCGUGAGAGACUGCCGGGGUGAACUCGGAGGAAGGUGGGGAUGACGUCAAAUCAUCAUGCCCCUUAUGUCCAGGGCUUCACACAUGCUACAAUGGCCGGUACAGUAGGUUGCGAGACCGUGAGGUGGAGCUAAUCCUUUAAAGCUGGUCGUAGUUCGGAUUGGGGUCUGCAACUCGACCCCAUGAAGUCGGAGUCGCUAGUAAUCGCAGAUCAGCAACGCUGCGGUGAAUACGUUCCCGGGCCUUGUACACACCGCCC